UACGUAGGGCGCAAGCGUUAUCCGGAAUUAUUGGGCGUAAAGCGCUCGUAGGCGGUUUGUCGCGUCUGCCGUGAAAGUCCGGGGCUCAACUCCGGAUCUGCGGUGGGUACGGGCAGACUAGAGUGAUGUAGGGGAGACUGGAAUUCCUGGUGUAGCGGUGAAAUGCGCAGAUAUCAGGAGGAACACCGAUGGCGAAGGCAGGUCUCUGGGCAUUAACUGACGCUGAGGAGCGAAAGCGUGGGGAGCGAACAGG
rnacentral:rRNA from 1 species